CAGCGGAGGAAGUUUGUAACUCCAUAUGAUUUAGGGGGGGGGAAGAAAAACAAGAAAAAAGUAAUUAUUCCUGAAGGUAGCCUAUACUGAAUAGCUAUUAAGUGAACAAUUUAGGAAAUAAAACCAUACUUCUUAAACUCUUUAGUGCUCCAGAUUGUAAUGGCACUGAAGACAAAAGAUUGGUGAGACCACACAGGAAGGGCCCAGAAAGACAAAAAUGACAAUAAAGGAUUUCAAUGGUUAUCAUCUGUGCAAAGACUACAGAAACUCCAGUGUGAUGUAUGAGAUAAAAGGAAAGCAUAACAAAAGCAAAAAGAAGAAUGCCAGCCCUGUGACACUGUUGUAUGAAAUGUAGAACAAUAUAGUAGAAGCUGACUUAGUCCAUGGAGGAGAGGACUUGGAAGAAACCUGGGUUUAAAUACCCGCUCAGUCAUUCUGAUCACAAGAUAGGCUUGGACAAGUCAUUAUCUUUUCCUGCUUUGCAGGGCUGUUGUAAGGACUGUGACGGUUUGCAUUUUGUAGUGUUUGUUAAAGGUGUUAUUUAUAUGUGUUAAAUGUUAAUGUAUAAAACUGAGUGCAUGUACAUUGUUAUUGUACAGUAAUGCUGUGCAGUAGUGAGGCCCUUGAAGGAAGGCUAAAGAAACCCUAUAAGUAUAUAAGAACAGCCCUGCUGGAUCAGGCCCAAGACCUAUCUAGUCCAGCAUCCUCUUUCACACACUGGCCUACCAGAUGCCUCUGAGAAGCCCACAGGCAAGAGGUGAGGGCAUGCCCUUUCUCCUGCUGUUGCUCCCCAGACUAGUAGCCAUUGCAGGUACAGAAGAAGGCCAGCGGUGGCCUGGCCUCAGCCCCCCGCCGUGGCCCCCCUAGCCCCACCCCCUGCAUCAGCAUCUGACAUCAGACGUGGGGGGGGUAUGUCUGGGGCAUGAGGUGAGGCCCCUGAGGGGCAGCUACCCGGGUUCUUUGAACCCAUUCACUCAAUGGUGGCUCUACCCUUGAGCCAUUAAUAGACCUGUCCUCCAUGAAUUUGCCUAAGCUCCUUUUAAAGCCAUCCAAGCUGGUGGCCAUCACCACAUCCCAUGGCAAAGAAUUCCAUCAAUUAAUUAUGCACUGUAUGAAAAAAGUACUUCCUCUUGUCAGUCCUAAAUUUCUCUGCUUGCUUAGAAUGCAGGAGGGGGGCAGUUAGAGAGAGAAGAUAAUUAAAACAAAUAGGAUAACAGAUAGUGAAGAGGGGAGAAGUUGGGCUGGAGGCUUGGAGAGAAAGACUGUUAAAAUUUAUGUAAACUAUGGCAACUCUUGGAAACCACUAUGUUUACUGUAUGUACAUCUAGAGCUUGUAACCGCCAUGCUUUGAGAAUGACAAAACAAUAAAAACCUGUUAUUUAGUUUUA